AUCACUUCUUGGCCUUUUGGCCAAGAUCAAGUGUAUUAUCUGUUCUUAUCAGUUUAAUAUCUGAUACAUCCUCUCUUUGAGGACAAUACAUUAAAUGGAUUUUUGGAGCAGGGAGAUGGAAUAGGAGCUUGCUCCCUCCACUCUAUGCAUUGAUCUGGUAUUGCAGAGCCUCCAGGAAUGGUGUACUCCUC
ensembl:snRNA U2 U2 spliceosomal RNA